UACGUAGGGUGCAAGCGUUAAUCGGAAUUACUGGGCGUAAAGCGUGCGCAGGCGGUUUUGUAAGUCUGAUGUGAAAAUCCCCCGGGCUCAACCUGGGAAUUGCAUUGGAGACUGCAAGGCUAGAAUCUGGCAGAGGGGGGUAGAAUUCCACGUGUAGCGGUGAAAUGCGUAGAUAUCGUAAGGAAGACCAGUGGCGAAGGCGGGUCUCGUGGACAGUUCCUGACACUGAGGCACG
rnacentral:rRNA from 1 species